UACGGUUAUAUCAUUCUGAAACAACGGUUCUCGUAAGAUCACCAAAGUUAAGCAACGUCAAACUUGGUUAGUACCCAGAUAGGUGACUGCUUUGGAAUACCAGGUGCUGCAAGC